CAGGCGCCCGAGGAAACUUGGCAGAGAUUUCUGGAAGGACUGUGCACCCAGCCCCUGCUCUGGAGGCUGCCCUCAGCGCAGAACCCCCCAGAGAAUGACGAAGGCCAUCCGGGGAGGGCAGAGGUGGCAUGGUGAUGGUGAGGAACAGCGUUCCCGUGGCGGGAAGGCUCAGAGGGCUCGGGAGUCUUGGCGAGAAGGGGAAGACCAAGGCUCAGAGCGGCCAGUGACCUGCUGGGCUCACACAGCUGAGUGGAGAGCCAGCCGGGAGCCGGGCGUCUAUCCCCCAGCCCACAGCCCUGAAGCUUGCAGAGGAAGCAGCUCUCCAAGGCUGGGCGGAGCCGGUGGGAAAGAACAUGGAAUGUGCCGGAACAAGCCACCUCAUCCAUCACUGUCCCUGUCUGCCUGUGGUUCCCAGCCCGCCCAGCUUGGCUGAGAACUGGCCACAGCCCAGAGCUCCCAGCCCUGGGGUUCUAGAACCUUCUUCUGCCCGCCUCCAGUCUGCAAAGCAGCCAGAAAUAAUAAGGUCCUGCUUUGAUCAUGUAGGGUCUGAUCUGCUGGUACCUCUACUGACCCUUGCAAAGGCUGUGGGAAAGUAGGAAGCUGAGCAGGUCACCCGCGUCGGGCCCUUUGCACAGGGAGGGGUGGGCACCGACAGUAGGUCACGAAGCCCCGGUGACAAAGCCCUGACUGUGUGCUGGGCCUGUGCCAGGCCUUCCAAGAUUCAGCUCAGCUCACCCGACAACAAACUUGCGAGGUGGGCGUAGGAGGAAACCCAGACACGAACCCAGGCCGUCUGGCCCCAGGAGCCACUUUCUCCGUGGGGAUUUAGGGUGCUGGGGCCCUGCUCCGGGGUCUGCUGUCCUGGGAUGGACACAACCCCAACCCAGACCC